rnacentral:rRNA from 1 species
UACGUAGGGUGCAAGCGUUAAUCGGAAUUACUGGGCGUAAAGCGUGCGCAGGCGGUUGUGCAAGACAGAUGUGAAAUCCCCGGGCUUAACCUGGGAAUUGCAUUUGUGACUGCACGGCUAGAGUGUGUCAGAGGGGGGUAGAAUUCCUGGUGUAGCAGUGAAAUGCGUAGAUAUCAGGAGGAAUACCGAUGGCGAAGGCAGCCCCCUGGGUCGAUACUGACGCUCAUGCACGAAAGCGUGGGGAGCAAACAGG